rnacentral:rRNA from 1 species
UUCCUACGGGAGGCAGCAGUAGGGAAUCUUCCACAAUGGACGAAAGUCUGAUGGAGCAACGCCGCGUGAGUGAAGAAGGGUUUCGGCUCGUAAAGCUCUGUUGGUAGUGAAGAAAGAUAGAGGUAGUAACUGGCCUUUAUUUGACGGUAAUUACUUAGAAAGUCACGGCUAACUACGUGCCAGCAGCCGCGGUAAUACGGAGGUGGCAAGCGGUGUCCGGAUUUAUUGGGCGUAAAGCGAGUGCAGGAGGUGU